GUUUGAUCCUGGCUCAGGAUGAACGCUAGCGGCAGGCUUAACACAUGCAAGUCGAGGGGUAGAGUUCUUCGGAGCUUGAGACCGGCGCACGGGUGCGUAACGCGUAUGCAAUCUACCUUUUACAGAGGGAUAGCCCAGAGAAAUUUGGAUUAAUACCUCAUAGUAUAAUUGAAUGGCAUCAUUUAAUUAUUAAAGUCACAACGGUAAAAGAUGAGCAUGCGUCCCAUUAGCUAGUUGGUAAGGUAACGGCUUACCAAGGCUACGAUGGGUAGGGGUCCUGAGAGGGAGAUCCCCCACACUGGUACUGAGACACGGACCAGACUCCUACGGGAGGCAGCAGUGAGGAAUAUUGGACAAUGGGCGCAAGCCUGAUCCAGCCAUGCCGCGUGCAGGAUGACGGUCCUAUGGAUUGUAAACUGCUUUUGUACAGGAAGAAACACUGGUUCGUGAACCAGCUUGACGGUAUCGUAAGAAUA
rnacentral:rRNA from 1 species